GUUUUUAUGGUGUAUUCAACACGUUACAUUUUCGUUGUAAAACUGAAAUGUCUUAUUUCUAAAAACU
rnacentral:tRNA from 1 species